UGUAUUGUGGUGCUAAGCCGUUCAGUGAUUUUUAAACUAACAGUAUUUUAAAGUCUAUUCUUUGAGCUACAGGGAGCCAGUGUAGGGACUUUAAAACUGUAUCUUCCUGUAUGUAUUAUUCUGUCCAGAAUAAUACAUUUCUGGGCAGAAAUUGAUUGUUUAACUGAUCAACAGCAGACUGAUCUGCUGGAGUCAGUCAGAACAUUUCCAUAGAGCCACUUUGCAUCAGCAGCUCCAUGCUCCAGUGCUCUGGGAGAGUUUAUAGUCCUGAGAGUUGAACACUGAAUGACUGACAGCUGUCCUUCAUCACAACCGAAGACACAGAAAUCCUCCUCAUCACAAACAUGACUUUGAUCUGCAUCCUCAUCUGGACUCUCCUCUGCUGCUGCUUCACAGAGGUCAGAGGUCAGGUCACAGUGACUCAGCAGCCUGUAGCAGUGAGAGCUGAUCUGGGAAGAUCUAUCAGCAUCAACUGUAGAACCAGUCAGAAUGUUUAUGUAAACAGCAAUGGCCACCGUUUAGCCUGGUACCAACAGAAAGAUGGACAAACUCCUAAGCUUCUCAUUUAUUAUGCCAGCACUCGAGCAUCAGGGACUCCAAGUCGUUUUACAGGCAGUGGAUCAAACUCUGACUUCACUCUGACCAUUAUUGGAGUUCAGGCUGAAAAUGCUGGAGUUUAUUACUGUCAGAGUGCUCACUACAUCAACAGCAAGUGGAUGUUCACACAGUGAAAAACCAUCGUACAA